rnacentral:tRNA from 1 species
GGGUUUAUGGCUCAGCGGUAGAGCACUUGCCUAGCAUGUGCAAGGCCCUGGGUUCAAUCCUCAGUACCA